AUUGAACGCUGGCGGCAGGCCUAACACAUGCAAGUCGAGCGGAGCCGCGGACGGGUGAGUAAUGCCUAGGAAUCUGCCUGGUAGUGGGGGAUAAAGUCAGGAAGCGGGCGCUAAUACCGCAUACUAGCAGAUGAGACUCAGUCGGAUUAGCUAGUUGGUGGGGUAAGGGCCUACCAAGGCGACGAUCCGUAACUGGUCUGAGAGGAUGAUCAGUCACACGGGAACUGAGACACGGUCCAGACUCCUACGGGAGGCAGCAGUGGGGAAUAUUGGACAAUGGGCGAAAGCCUGAUCCAGCCAUGCCGCGUGUGUGAAGAAGGUCUUCGGAUUGUAAAGCACUUUAAGUUGGGAGGCGUUACCAACAGAAUAAGCACCGGCUAACUUCGUGCCAGCAGCCGCGGUAAUAC
rnacentral:rRNA from 1 species